GCCGGGCGUGGUGGCUCAUGCCUGUAAUCCCAGCAUUUUGGGAGGCUGAGAUGGGCGGAUCACCUGAGGUCAGGAGUUCGAGACCAGCCUGGCCAACAAGGUGAAACCCCAUCUCUA
rnacentral:SRP_RNA from 1 species